ACUAAAGGUGGGUUACUGUUCCUAAGCUGUAGGUUAUGAACAAUGAAGGCUUGGUAACAGUAGCAGCUUGAGCCUAGCCGAUGAACGAAAUAACCGUUUUGUCCUUUGAAAAAAAUAAUUUACAUCCUUGCCAUUCGACACACGUCGCACCGAGUGGUGUUGGAACUGUUGAUUUAUUGCUGCGUGUUUGCUCUGGAGAAGGACAAGUACUCCUUUGAUCUGCGUGAAGAGAGAAAGAGAAAGAGGACGAAAGGGAUAUGCUGAUCCUUUUGUUUCUUUUCUCUGGGCAAGUCGAGACAGAUAGAGAGAGCGUGCUGAACUUCGUAGACUCCAAGUGGAGAUUGUUUGGUGAUGACAUUGGCUUGAAGAAUUUUGGGGAUUUGGCGGAAUGGGUUUAGCCCCUCAUUGUUUCUUUAAUACAACGGUGCCAUUCGACUCAGGGAGAUAGAGGUCUUCUGCGAGAGACAUGCACAGAAAGAAGAAGAGGGAAAUUCACAUCCCGAGACUGAUCGGAGAGAGAAGGAGAAGCAUCUUUUUGAUAGUACAAAUAUAAGAAGAGGGAGACGGCAAGGAAAGCAUGAAUAGGUGAGAUUGAGGAAAAGAGAGGAGACAAUUUCUGGGUUCUGCCGACACAGGGCAAAAGAGAUGAGACUAGGAAAAAAAAAAAAAAGAGAGAAGAGAUUUUGGGGUUGCUGAUAGGGGUUUCUGAUUCGAUAGAGAGGAUGAGCAAGGAGACGGGAAGAGCAUCAAUCUGGGUAUUUGAUUUUUGGUUUUUGUUUUUUUUCUUCUGAUUUCUCAUGCAUUGGUUUGUUGUCUUUGUUGUAGUUGGGUUUUGAUGAGGAAGCAGAACAUGAAUUUGGUGGUUUGACGCUGUUCUGCAUCUGCCUGGGAAGAGUACUGCUGUCGUCUUUGAGUUUUGGAUAAUAGGAUUUCGAAUAGAGACAAGCAGAGAGGAUAUUUAGUUUUUGGGGCACUGUUCCUAAGCAUUGUUGAAGUGGCGGCUCCAGCCGAGCCGGUCAUGGAUGAAAAGCCGAUUUUGUCCUUGCUUCAUCUCUGUUGCCCGACACCUGUCUACCGUCUCAAAACUCCCGCGUCUUUCUUCUCGACACCUGGUCUGCUGCUCAGCCCUUUCGUGUCUUCGCUACUUCGCUGCACAGACAGGUGGAGAAAGAGAGAGAGAUAGCGAAGGAGGUGGUACUGUUUGUUGGCAUCUACAAUUCGAAUUCGAUCUUCCCUGUGUAAAUCUGGAAGUCUCUUUCUACACGGAGAGAGGUGUCUAUCUACAGUAAUAUUUGCUGAGCCAGAUUAUCGGGUUUACUGAUCGAUCAAAGCUGGAUAGAGUUUGGGUUCUUCUUGAUAACGUUCAGUCUUCCAGAUUAUCAGAAAAAGAGAGGGAGAAGAGGACGGGGGAAAAAGGAAAAGAAGUAGAAGAGAGAGACCAGAAACUUUAGCUUGCUUGCUUGAGAGAAAACAAGUGGAAAGUAUUUUUUUAAUCUUAAAUUUUCUGAUUGAAAUUGUUUCUGGGUUUGAUUGUAGUGUGUUUCAAACAAGGAAAAGUAAAGUUUUUGUAGUUUGUUUGCUUUUGAUUGUUCACUUUUGAUCUGUGAAUUUGGGUUUGAUUUAUUGUUUUCUGAUCAGCAUCUUUUGUCAUUUCGAUUUUGUGAUUGCAUUUUGAUGUAAUUUUUGUUGCAUCUUUUAGAUAAGUUUCUUUAUGAUCAGUUCUUUAUAGUUUGAAAAAGAGUGAGAGGAUUUCUGAGUAUUUGAUUUCUCUGAAUGAAUUUUGGUUUAUGGUGUUUAAUUGAACUGAUUUGCAGAAAGUGCUGGAUUAUUCAGUUUUGUUUUGCUGGUCAGGAAGCUGGAUAAGCAACAUGUCCACUACUUUUCCGUUUCUGGAAGCCUCCAUCAACAUCACCCUUUUCUCUUGCCGACAUCAGGAUUACCCAUCAACAUCAGCACUGAUCAAAACUUGCACAGAGCAUUACAUGUUCAUGGUCUUGGCUGGGUGGAUCUAUAAUUAUACGUCAUCAAAGAAGAGAAAGUGACCCCUUGAUAUAUGCUGGUCCAAUUUAAAGUUACGAGGUUGUCUUUUUGAAGCGGUUUUCUUCUGCCAUACCUUUGAUCACUGGUUAUUUUUGUUUAUGAGAGGAUACGUGCUUAUCAUCCACCAAUUGCAAGAGUGGGUUUUUAUUUGCAUUUGAGGAUUUUCAGCAACAUUACUUGCAACCGAUUUGCGGGUGUUCUUCAAAGGUUGAUGAGGCCAUGCACAAUAAGUGACAUGUCUUCUUCGUGGUAAUAGG